UUUAAAACCUGUUUAAUAAAAAAAAUUUAUACUUCCAACCAGCUGGGGGACUGUCUGACAUUUCAGAUAGUGCCCCUGCUGGCAGAUCCACAGCCAGCUAUAGGGGGCCAUGUGAACGCUCUUUGAGAGCGAUCACAUGGCUCCCGGGGGCCUCAUUUGCCAGGGGAGGGCUGCCUUGGCUGUCAGGCAGCCCUCCAGAAGAGGAUCGCAUUGGAGGUGAGUACCGUGGACCUCCAGGGGCUCAAAGCCGUUACGGCGUUCUAUGCUUUUAUUCUUUAAAGCCUACUUAAUGCGGGACGGCAUAGAAUGCCGUAACGGCGUUAACGGGUCAAUAGACAUACCCACCAAGUAAAUAAACAUUUAAUAUUUUUGUAAAUAUUAUUUUGGGGAAGUAUGAAAAAUUUAAGCUACCUGCAGACCUUCUGCCUUGCACAGACUUUCCAGUCUAUGCUAGACAUGAUCCAGUCAGAAGCUUCUAGUCAGAAAUCUUGCACCUGUGUUUAAUUUCAUACACUUCUCAAGCUGCCACAGUGCUUCACUUAUACUUUGCAGAGCAAGUGACACAGGGAACCUUUACUGACAGCCAGGAAGGUGUGACAAAGGUAUUUUAUAAAAUUGUAGAUUUCUCAACACUUUUAUAUAAUAGGCCUGCAGGAACAGACAGUUUAACACAAAAGUACUUCAGCAAGAGUACUCUUUUAAACAUAGCAUAAUAGGAGUUGUAUUUCUACAGUAGUGAUAUUCUUUUACAAAUAAAAUAUUGUAAUUGGUAUUGAUAGAUGAAUCCAAAAAACCAUAAAAUAGUUGACUUUUUGAUCAAUAAUUUCUCAUCCAUUCAUUUGAUUUUGUAAUUCAUCAGUAUUAUGUGUAUGACCAUAACAUUUUGAAAUAUUUCUUUAAAAAAAAGUUAGUUCUUCUAAGGCUUUGAAUAAUAUAUGAGGUAAAAUCAUUUAUCCUUUUGUAACAUCAACAGACAGUUAUUUGGUGACUAGUAAAUAUGUGAUGCACUGAUAAAUUGAGAAAAUAAAACUGAACUGUCUGAUUUAACUUUGAUAAGAAGUAUUUGGUAUUUUUGCUACAGUUUCUAUAAUUUGAAGAAUCCAUAUACAUAUCAUUACAAUAAAAUUACAGUAUUACAAUUAAAUUAAUUAUAAAUUAUUCAUACAUUUCUUGUUGUCUAUGUAAAUUAACAUUUCAGAAACUGCACAUACUUGUGGACCUUUUCAAUAAAACUGCUGCAC